rnacentral:rRNA from 1 species
AUUGAACGCUGGCGGCAGGCUUAACACAUGCAAGUCGAGCGGGGUGAUGGUGCUUGCACUAUCACUUAGCGGCGGACGGGUGAGUAAUGCUUAGGAAUCUGCCUAUUAGUGGGGGACAACAUCUCGAAAGGGAUGCUAAUACCGCAUACGUCCUACGGGAGAAUGCAGGGGAUCACUUGUGACCUUGCGCUAAUAGAUGAGCCUAAGUCGGAUUAGCUAGUUGGUGGGGUAAAGGCCGACCAAGGCGACGAUCUGUAGCGGGGCUGAGAGGAUGAUCCGCCACACUGGGACUGAGACACGGCCCAGACUCCUGCGGGAGGCAGCAGUGGGGCAUAUUGGACAAUGGGGGGAACCCUGAUCCAGCCAUGCCGCGUGUGUGAAGAAGGCCUUAUGGUUGUAAAGCACUUUAAGCGAGGAGGAGGCUCUUUUGGUUAAUACCCAAGAUGAGUGGACGUUACUCGCAGAAUAAGCACCGGCUAACUCUGUGCCAGCCGCCGCGGUAA